GACGAACGCUGGCGGCGUGCCUAAUACAUGCAAGUCGAACGCACUCUCGUUUAGAUUGAAGGAGCUUGCUCCUGAUUGAUAAACAUUUGAGUGGGUGGCGGACGGGUGAGUAACACGUGGGUAACCUGCCCUAAAGUGGGGGAUAACAUUUGGAAACAGAUGCUAAUACCGCAUAAACCCAACACCGCAUGGUGUAGGGUUGAAAGAUGGUUUCGGCUAUCACUUUAGGAUGGACCCGCGGUGCAUUAGUUAGUUGGUGAGGUAAAGGCUCACCAAGACCGUGAUGCAUAGCCGACCUGAGAGGGUAAUCGGCCACACUGGGACUGAGACACGGCCCAGACUCCUACGGGAGGCAGCAGUAGGGAAUCUUCCACAAUGGACGAAAGUCUGAUGGAGCAACGCCGCGUGAGUGAAGAAGGUUUUCGGAUCGUAAAACUCUGUUGUUGGAGAAGAAUGUAUCUGAUAGUAACUGAU
rnacentral:rRNA from 1 species